rnacentral:rRNA from 1 species
CCUACGGGUGGCAGCAGUGGGGAAUAUUGCCCAAUGGGCGAAAGCCUGACGCAGCGACGCCGCGUGAGGGAUGAAGGUCUUCGGAUCGUAAACCUCUGUCAGCAGGGAAGAACGGUCACUGUGCUAAUCAGCAGUGAAUUGACGGUACCUUCAAAGGAAGCACCGGCUAACUCCGUGCCAGCAGCCGCGGUAAUACGGAGGGUGCGAGCGUUAACCGGAAUUACUGGGCGUAAAGCGCUCGUAGGCGGUAAGUCAAGUCCAGGGUGAAAUCCCCGCGCUCAACGUGGGAACUGCUUUUGAAACUGGGCAACUAGAGUGUGUGAGAGGAUAGUGGAAUUCCAGGUGUAGGAGUGAAAUGCGUAGAUAUCUGGAGGAACAUCAGUGGCGAAGGCGACUUUCUGGAAAAUAACUGACGCUGAGGAGCGAAAGCGUGGGUAGCAAAAAGGAUUAGGUACCCGAGUAGUC